ensembl:lncRNA
AUGGUUAGCAACCUGGCAGUGCCAGCACCCUGCUCUACACACCACCUCCUCCUCUCCCCUCCUGUCUCCUCCUCUCUUCUCCUGUCUCCUCCUCUCCCCUCCUGUCUUCUCCUCUCCCCUCCCGUCUUCUCCUCUCCCCUCCUGUUUUCUCCUCUCCCCUCCUGUCUCCUCCUCUCCCCUCCUGUCUUCUCCUCUCCCCUCCCGUCUUCUCCUCUCCCCUCCUGUUUUCUCCUCUCCCCUCCUGUCUCCUCCUCUCCCCUCCUGUCUUCUCCUCUCCCCUCCUGUCUUCUCCUCUCCCCUCCUGUCUUCUCCUCUCCCCUCCUGUCUUCUCCUCUCCCCUCCUGUCUCUUCCUCUCCCCUCCUGUCUUCUCCUCUCCCCCCCUGUCUUCUCCUCUCCCCUCGUGUCUUCUCCUCUCCCCUCCUGUCUUCUCCUCUCCCCUCCUGUCUCCUCCUCUCCCCUCCUGUUUCCUCCUCUCCCCUCCUGUCCUCUCCCCUCCUGUCCUCUCCUCUCCCCUCCAGUCUUCUUCUCCUCCCUCCUGUCUUCUCCUCUCCUCUCCCCUCCUGUCUUCCACCCUCCUGUCUUCUCCUCUCCCCUCCACUCCUCUCCUGUCUUCUCCUCUCCCCUCCUGUCUUCUCUCCCCUCCUGUUUUCCCCCUCCUGUCUUCUCCUCUCCCCUCCUGUCCUCUCCUCUCCCCUCCUGUCUUCUCCUCUCCCCUCCUGUCUCCUCCUCUCCCCUCCUGUUUCCUCCUCUCCCCUCCUGUCCUCUCCCCUCCUGUCCUCUCCUCUCCCCUCCAGUCUUCUUCUCCUCCCUCCUGUCUUCUCCUCUCCUCUCCCCUCCUGUCUUCCCCCCUCCUGUCUUCUCCUCUCCCCUCCACUCCUCUCCUGUCUUCUCCUCUCCCCUCCUGUCUUCUCUCCCCUCCUGUUUUCCCCCUCCUGUCUUCUCCUCUCCCCUCCUGUCCUCUCCUCUCCCCUCCAGUCUUCUUCUCCUCCCUCCUGUCUUCUCCUCUCCCCUCCUGUCCUCUCCUCUCCCCUCCAGUAUUCUUCUCCUCCCUCCUGUCUUCUCCUCUCCUCUCCCCUCCUGUCUUCCACCCUCCUGUCUUCGCCUCUCCCCUCCUGUCUUCUCCUCUCCCCUCCUGUCUUCUCAUCUCCCCUUCUGUCUUCCCCCCUCCUGUCUUCUCCUCUCCCCUCCACUCCUCUCCUGUCUUCUCCUCUCCCCUCCUGUCUUCUCUCCCCUCCUGUUUUUCCCCUCCUGUCUUCUCCUCUCCCCUCCUGUCCUCUCCUCUCCCCUCCUGUCUUUUCCUCUCCCCUCCUGUCUUCUCCCCUCCUGUCUUCCCCCCUCCUGUCUUCUACUCUCCCCUCUUGUCCUCUCCUCUCCCCUCCAGUAUUCUUCUCCUCCCUCCUGUCUUCUCCCCUCUCCUCGCGUCCUCUCCUCUCCCCUCCUGUCUUCUCCUCUCCCCUCCCCUCCCCUCCUGUCCUCUCCUCUCCUGUCUUCACUCCCCCUCCUGUCUUCCACCCUCCUGUCUUCUCCUCUCCCCUCCUGUCUUCUCAUCUCCCCUUCUCCUCUCUCCUCCUGUCUUCUCCCCAUCACCUCCUGUCUUCUCCUCUCCCCUUCUCCUCACUCCUCCUGUCUUCCCCCAAUCUCCUCCUGUCUUCUCUUCUCCCCUCCUGUCCUCUCCUCUCCACAGCUAUGGAGGGAAGAAAGAUAAUAUUUGUGGAAUUCCCUAA